AGCGAACGCUGGCGGCAGGCUUAACACAUGCAAGUCGAGCGGGCACUUCGGUGUCAGCGGCAGACGGGUGAGUAACACGUGGGAACGUACCCUUCGGUUCGGAAUAACGCUGGGAAACUAGCGCUAAUACCGGAUACGCCCUUUUGGGGAAAGGUUUACUGCCGAAGGAUCGGCCCGCGUCUGAUUAGCUAGUUGGUGGGGUAAUGGCCUACCAAGGCGACAAUCAGUAGCUGGUCUGAGAGGAUGAUCAGCCACACUGGGACUGAGACACGGCCCAGACUCCUACUGGAGGACACAAAGGGGACUAUUGGACAGCGGGUGCAAGCCAGAACCAGCCAAGCCGCGUGAGUGAUGAAAGCCUUAGGGUUGUAAAGCUCUUUUGUCCGGAACGAUAAUGACGGUACCGGAAGAAUAAGCCCCGGCUAACUUCGUG
rnacentral:rRNA from 1 species